rnacentral:rRNA from 1 species
CCUACGGGAGGCAGCAGUAGGGAAUCUUCCACAAUGGGCGAAAGCCUGAUGGAGCAACGCCGCGUGGGUGAAGAAGUUCUUCGGAUCGUAAGACCCUGUUGUUAGAGAAGAAAAUGCGUGAGAGUAAAUGUUCACGUUUCGACGGUAUCUAGCCAGAAAGCCACGGCUAACUACGUGCCAGCAGACGCGGUAAUACGUAGGUGGCAAGCGUUAUCCGGAUUGAUUGGGCGUGAAGGGUACGCAGGCGGUCUUUUAAGUCUGAUGUGAAGGCCUUCGGCUUAACCGGAGUAGUGCAUUGGAAACUGGGAGACUUGAGUGCAGAAGAGGAGAGUGGAACUCCAUGUGUAGCGGUGAAAUGCGUAGAUAUAUGGAAGAACACCAGUGGCGAAAGCGGCUCUCUGGUCUGUAACUGACGCUGAGGUUCGAAAGCGUGGGUAGCAAACAGGAUUAGAUACCCGUGUAGUC